AUUGAACGCUGGCGGCAGGCCUAACACAUGCAAGUCGAACGAGUGGCGGACGGGUGAGUAAUGUCUGGGAAACUGCCUGAUGGAGGGGGAUAACUACUGGAAACGGUAGCUAAUACCGCAUACCAUCGGAUGUGCCCAGAUGGGAUUAGCUAGUAGGUGGGGUAAAGGCUAACCUAGGCGACGAUCCCUAGCUGGGCUGAGAGGAUGACCAGCAACACGGGAACUGAGACACGGUCCAGACUCCUACGGGAGGCAGCAGUGGGGAAUAUUGCACAAGGGGCGCAAGCCUGAGGCAGCCAUGCCGCGUGUAUGAAGAAGGCCUUGGGGUUGUAAAGUACUUUCAGCGGGGAGGCGUUACCCGAAGAAGAAGCACCGGCUAACUCCGUGCCAGCAGCCGCGGUAAUUC
rnacentral:rRNA from 1 species